UACGUAGGGGGCAAGCGUUGUCCGGAUUUAUUGGGCGUAAAGAGCGUGUAGGCGGUCUGGUAGGUCCGUUGUGAAAACUCGAGGCUCAACCUCGAGACGCCGAUGGAAACCAUCAGACUAGAGUCCGGAAAAGGAGAGUGGAAUUCCUGGUGAUAGCGGUGGAAAUGACGCAGAUAUCAGGAAGAACACCCGUGGCUAAGGCGGCUCUCUAGUACGGUACUGGACGCUGAGACGCGAAAGCGUUGGGGAGCGAACAGG
rnacentral:rRNA from 1 species